GCACUUACCUGGCAGGGGAGACACCAAGAUGGAAAAGGGGGUCUUCCCAGGGAGGGGCUCACCCACUGCUCUCAGUGUGCUGAUCCCUGCCAGCCCCCAAAUGUGGGAAACUCACCUGCAUUGUUGCUGGUAGUGGGGGCUCCAUUCGUGCUUCCCCUU